GAUGAACGCUGGCGGCGUGCCUAAUACAUGCAAGUCGAGCGAACAGACGAGGAGCUUGUUCCUCUGACGUUAGCGGCGGACGGGUGAGUAACACGUGGAUAACCUACCUAUAUGACUGGGAUAAUUUCGGGAAACCGGAGCUAAUACCGGAUAAUAUAUUGAACCGCAUGGUUCAAUAGUGAAAGACGGUUUUGCUGUCACUUAUAGAUGGAUCCGCGCCGCAUUAGCUAGUUGGUAAGGUAACGGCUUACCAAGGCAACGAUGCGUAGCCGACCGGAGAGGGUGAUCGGCGACACGGGAGCUGAGACACGGUCCAGGCUCCUACGGGAGGCAGCAGUAGGGAAUCUUCGGCAAUGGGCGAAAGCUUGACGGAGCAACGGCGCGUGAGUGAUGAAGGUCUUCGGAUCGUAAAACUCUGUUAUUGGGGAAGAACAGAUGUGGAAGGAGCUAUGCACGUCUUGACGGUACCUAAUCAAAAAGCCACGGCUAACUACGUG
rnacentral:rRNA from 1 species